AUUGCGACGUCUCGGCCUGACCAUCCUCACACCAAUAUUGAAUAUGACUCGGCUCAAUCCGACCUCCUUCCACAAAACAGGAUGCUGGUUCUUUUAAAACAAUAAUUCUAUAAAAACUUCAAUUUUAUUGUAGGCACGUGAUAUGAACCUGAAUUAAUAGAAAGAAAAUCAAUUCCUAGGAUCCUGACAUAGCUCAAACUGAAAACCUUCUGCUCUGUCACCAUGUGAAAUAACUGUUGCUCUCCAAAAACUUAAUCCGAUAGAGAACGAUAUUUUUAUAUUUAACAUAAGGCACGCGACACGUUGAUCUUAAAUUUUAAUUAGUUGUAAUUUCUGGUUCGAACUAUAAAGCAUGUGACAUUUUAAUUCUCAAACAAUAUUUAUUUAAAAGGAUUAUAGUAAUAUUCUAUCGGAUGAUGCAACAAUAAUUAAGAUGUUUAUAACUUCGAUAUUAGUAACUCAUCAAUAUUUAUUCAAAGGGAUUGAUUAAUUCUGAUACUUGAUUGUAAUAAUUUGAAAAGUUCAAGAACUAAACUAUAAAAUAGUAAAAUAUCAUCAUCUGAGGUGUUGUUUGAUGAGAAAACAAAAAGAAAAAUAAAGAGAAUAAUA
rnacentral:lncRNA from 1 species